UACGAAGGACCCGAGCGUUAUCCGGAUUUAUUGGGUUUAAAGGGUGCGUAGGUGGAGUGGUAAGUCAGUGGUGAAAUCUCCAAGCUUAACUUGGAAACUGCCGUUGAUACUAUCAUUCUUGAAUAUCGUGGAGGUAAGCGGAAUAUGUCAUGUAGCGGUGAAAUGCUUAGAUAUGACAUAGAACACCGAUUGCGAAGGCAGCUUGCUACACGAUCAUUGACACUGAGGCACGAAAGCGUGGGGAUCAAACAGG
rnacentral:rRNA from 1 species